rnacentral:tRNA from 1 species
GGACUGUAGCUCAGCGGAAGAGCACUUGCCUAGCACAUGGGAGGCACUGUGUUCGAUCCUCAGCACCA